UUCACUAGGUUUCCCAAGUCCAACAUUGAUUAAAAGCAGAAUUACAUCAAGCUUCAUGCAGUUCAACUAUUUUCUUUACACAUAUAUCUAAUAGAACCAAAAUUCCAAAUCCACCAAGUCACAAAAUUUGCCAAAUUUUUUUGUAAAAACAUAACUUUCACAAUUACUCUUACCUAAAAAGGUCUCAACCUUGAUUGAUCCCACUCUAAUUUCACAAAACAAAUAAAACCAGUCCAACUAUCCAACCUUCCUCAUCAUAAUUUCACCAAAAACACACAAACGAAAGCAACUUACAUGAAAUAGGACCGCCACUGGGUCAGUUCCCCACAAUCCACAACUAAAAUUUUCCAAAUUUCCACAUGCGAGCACCCAACAAAUCCCAAAACACCAAUUUCAAUGCAAAACUGCAAACCCCAACAAAUUUAAACACACAAACUAAUAAAAGAGUGAAGCUUUACGUGGUUGAAGACGGCCCAAGAAGUGGGUUUUCCUUGAAGGGCUGAAAGGAGAGGCGAUGAGAUUUUCAACCACCUUCAUCCCACACUGUGUCAUUGUCUACUAGUAAUAUCUGCUUAGAAUUUUGUUUAAGUGUGAACUUUGUAAUUUUUUAGAUUUUUUUUGUUGUACGUUUUUUAUAUUUUUUGGCUUUUUUACCAUGGAAUUAAUCCUAACCGUUGAACUUUUCAACUUUUUAAUAUCAAAUGCGCUACAAAGUGCCACGUGGCACAUCAUCUUUUUAAAUUUCUUUUAUCGUUUAAAUUUAAUGGUCCGGAUCAACAAAUUGUUGAAAAUCCAACAGCUGUGGCGCCCAAAUUUGAGCCGUUUGGAGGCUUAUGUCAAUCUCUAACAAUUGUUCGAAUUGUUGUAUCCAAAUAUUAUACAUUCAAUUGAGUCAAUGAAGCAUGUGUGUCAACGAAUUUUGAAGAGUUCGGCUUGGUUCUCUCUCUUUGGUCUUUAAUGAUUAAGUGUGAGGCACAUGUUUGUUGACUAAUUGAGUCCCUUCUCUAAGUUUUUAGUAGAUAUUGUAUAAUUUGCUUUUAUGAGCACUUCUUUAAGCUGUCAAGUUCCCAAAAUGUACAAGGAGACAUCAAGUUUAACAAGUCACGAACUGUGAUCAAUCCAAAUGCAGUGAAAUUAGGGAUUUUGCACUUAAAAACUCAGUUAGCCUUAGACCAUAGGAUUAGCAUUUUGCACAUGUGAGUAUCAUUGACUUGCUCAUUUUAUUUUUCUGGAUAAGAAACAAACUGUCAUUGAAGGGAGAAGAAAGUGUAUAAAAACAAAGUUUCUGUAAGCUUGCACUCAUAUGCCUAAUAUUUUAAUUUCUUUUCUUGGUAGGUAUUUUCUCUGAUAUUGCUGAAUGACCUAUUUUUGAGAAAGGCAUGGAUUACUUUCAAGCAUUUUCCUUAUACAAUUGGAUCAUGAUAAUAUUUUGAGGCAUAUCAAUUUAUUCCACAUGUGAAUAGUUUUGAAUUCAAAGUCUAGUUUUUCGAUUUCAAUCUGGCAUAUGAUAUUUGAAUAGCAUAAGUAUUUUUAGUGUCAGUCCAAUUUUCUGAAAGGUAACUAAGUAAAACAAUAUUUUGUCAUUUUUCUUCAGGUAAAUAUAACAAUGUUUUGUAAUCUUUUUUGUUACUUUCUAUGUAAAUUAUUCAUGUCUGUUGUAGAUAAUGGUUUCAAAACCCGCAGCAAAGUGCGAGCAAAUCUUCUAGUUCAAACUAAACGAAGAACCAAAUAAAAAAUCAUUCAAUCUCAUGGUAAAACGCCAUUCCAUCAAAUAAGAAUGCAAAUAAACAAAGAAAACGGGACUAGCUACAACUAGAAGAAUCAAAUUUCUCAUUGUCGUAGACAGCCAUAAUAAAUAAUUUCAUCCAACUUUAUCAUACAGAUUGGAGGGUUCACAGUGAUUCUAUUCUUGAGCCAUCUUCAAUUCGAAACAUACACAAGUGUCAUCGUUCUCCUUUUUGUGGCUUUAGAAACCCUAUAAUUAUUUUGAUCGAAUGCAACUUAAUAUAAGGAAGUGAGGUGUUAAAAUGACAGAAAUAACCCUGAACACAAGUCAUGUGCCUCGCACAUGACUUACUUUGAAUGGAAAACUUAACGGAAUUAGGAUGAGAUGACAAAUUGAUGAUUUCAGAAAGUUGGUAUGACAAAUUGCUUAAAUUUUUAGUUUAUUUAACAAAUUGAAAAAUAUGUACAAGUUUAUAUGACAUUUCAAAAAUUAUUUAUUCCCAAAUUAUCUAUUCUAAAGUUGAUAGCUACAGUCAAAUCUUUGCCACUCAAUUUCACGCUAUUUACAACAAUGCCAGCCAAAUUGGUAUGGGUUGGGAGGGUAAUUCUCAAAAGUUGAGAGGGUAAUUUUGUCCGUAUGGUUUAGAACGGAUUGCGAUGGGUUAGACACGUGCGCUCUCUCUCAUCUGUCACUUCCUGUUUCUGUCCUUGUCUACUGGAAAACCCACAAUCUUUCAUCUUCCUCUGCUUUUCCUCUCUCUCCGCUCCCCAUAUCUCUCGACAUGAAGCACAUAAACCAACUAGUGACGGUCGAAACCCUCAAACAUGGCGGAGGGGAAAUGGAGGAGCAAUGACGGUCGACAACUGCCUCCGGUGUCGAUGAAUUUGGUCGUCGGAAAGCGUCCUCGCUCCGAUUAUGGAAGCUAUUAAUUCUGCAUCAUCGGUGACUCAAACCUUAAGCAGCGAAGUGGCUGACGGUCAACAUAAGCUCCUAGCUCUUGCAGCUGCACGAGGAAAACUCAAGUGCAGUAAAUCCUCUGGUCACACAACUCACUAAUGGACCCUUGGGUGGUCUUCAUGAGAAGUUCGUGGAUUCCGUGCUGCUGCGGUAUAUUUAAAUGUUGCUUUCCACUGUUUGAGCCUAGGCCUCCUCCACCACCAUAGUGUGGGAGUGUGUGAAAUGUGUUGAUGCUGAUGAUGGUACCGAAUUUGGUGACACUCCUUUACUAGCAGAGCAGGUAACAGAGCUUCUUCCAACUCAAAUUUAAUGAUUCAAGCUGCCUAAGAUUUGCAUAACAUUCCCAAGUUGUAGUCGAUGUGCCUAAGUGGUUGAGUGCUUGACUAAUGAAUGUAACCACUAAGAUGUGGAUUCUUUUUGGGGGGUUAGAAAUAACAUUUCUAAUUUCGGAUUUAUGGGUUUGAAUUUUUGUCGAGUAUGUGAUUCUGUGUUCUGUGUGUAUCGAUUGACUGAUGAAAAAAUGUAGCCAUAAAAUAUUGAUUUUGACAAUUUUGAUUCUGAGAUUGCCUCUUUA